rnacentral:tRNA from 1 species
AGGGGAGUAAAGAUAAUUGGAUAAUCGUCCGGUCUCCAAAACCGUGGAACGUGGGUUCGAUUCCCACCUCCCCUGCCA